rnacentral:rRNA from 1 species
AGUGAACGCUGGCGGUAGGCCUAACACAUGCAAGUCGAACGGCAGCACAGUAAGAGCUUGCUCUUACGGGUGGCGAGUGGCGGACGGGUGAGGAAUACAUCGGAAUCUACUUUUUCGUGGGGGAUAACGUAGGGAAACUUACGCUAAUACCGCAUACGACCUACGGGUGAAAUCAGGGGAUCUUCGGACCUUGCGCGAUUGAAUGAGCCGAUGUCGGAUUAGCUAGUUGGCGGGGUAAAGGCCCACCAAGGCGACGAUCCGUAGCUGGUCUGAGAGGAUGAUCAGCCACACUGGAACUGAGACACGGUCCAGACUCCUACGGGAGGCAGCAGUGGGGAAUAUUGGACAAUGGGCGCAAGCCUGAUCCAGCCAUACCGCGUGGGUGAAGAAGGCCUUCGGGUUGUAAAGCCCUUUUGUUGGGAAAGAAAAGCAGCAGAUUUAUACCCCGCUGUUCUGACGGUACCCAAAGAGUAAGCACCGGCUAACUUCGUG